UAUUGCAAAUACAGACGCGCCCUCUCCCAUACAAAACGGGAAACCUGGUCGCGAAAGGUUUUCUUCUACUGUCUACAUUUUCCGAAAUUCACAUUUUGCGACAACGUUUUGAGUUUUCUCUACACCGUACGUUAGUCAACCAACUGUGUGUGUUCAGGAGAUAAGAGUUGAUAAUUGAAAAGCCCUUUUUCCCGUAAAAGGUGUGACUAAAAAUAGAUCAUUCGCCGAUAUACUAGGGUAAUCUAGUGAGAGCUUUCCAUUCAUAAAUCACAUUCAUUUGGUGUUGGGUCGUGAAGUAAUACACCUCGGGAAGUAGUUUUUUAAACUGUGCAAAUUGACUUUAGAACUCGUCGGUGUUCCGCUGUGAUAAAUCGAUAGCAGCGGGCCUGUUCCAUAUAUUCUUCGUUCGUAGCCAGAAGCGACAGCAGGAAAAUGGCGACCGAGGGAGGCUUGGCGCCCGGCGGCGAUGGCGACAUGCCCGUGGGCGGACCGAAGACGCCCCAACAGAUUGCGGCACAGCGUCGCCUGCAACAGACGCAGGCACAAGUUGACGAGGUGGUGGACAUCAUGAAAACAAACGUGGAAAAGGUACUGGAGCGAGAUCAAAAACUAUCGGAACUCGAUGACAGAGCAGAUGCACUUCAGCAAGGCGCAUCACAGUUUGAACAGCAGGCUGGGAAACUGAAAAGCAAAUUUUGGCUCCAGAAUUUAAAGAUGAUGAUAAUCGCAGCUGUGAUUGGAAUUAUCAUCUUGGCUCUAAUCAUCGCCAACUUUGUGUGAACAAGUUUCGGUAACCGAAGUUUAAUUUAGAAGUUACUUGUUAUAAUGUUAAAACCUAGUAUAUAACGUAUGUUGUUAUUUUUAUCAUUACAUUAUUGGUACUAUGCCUAUAUUGGUCUGUAAACAACCCACAAGGAGGAUAACAGCUAAGAUAAACAAACCGGCGGUACUGUCACAUCAAUCUCCGUAAAACGUUUGUAAUACGUUUUUCUUUAGAAGUUACUUAGUGUUGAUACGUAUAUAUCUGAAGAUGAUAUCAUAUAAUUAUAACUGUUUUUGCCUCCAAAUACUCUAUCUUAUAUAAUAUAUCCAAAAAUUUGUAUAUUUUAAAAAAUCACGCGUCUUAGACACGAUUUCUUUUGUAUCACUCGGUUCUGUGAAAUAUAAAAUAGUGUAUUUUUAGAUGAUCUUUCUUUGUUAUAAAAUUUACCACUGAAAUUGAUACCUAUUUGCUAACAAUUAGAUAAGGCUUGUAGAAAAAAUAUAUUAUCUUUUUGAUAUUUAUUCUGUCAGAGAAAUAGUUGACGUUUUUGCGUUUUAUUGGACCAAUAUUUCAUUUAAGUCGAUUAUAUUUUCAACAUGACUAAAAACCUAAUUGAUAUGUUUGAUAACAUUUAUUUUUGCUUAAACAUUUAUUUAUGCAACAGUGUAGUUGACAUAAUUUAAUAGAUUUUUACUAUUUUAUAAAGACUUCCACAGACCGUUUACAUCAUAAAUCCUUUAUCUUUUUGUACACAAAUUCCAAUUGCAUUUCCAUUUAAAAGUAAUACAUUAAAAUUGUAUAGUGUUUAAUCGCUUUCGUGAAAUGUAGCUAUAUAAAAUCUAUAACCGUGAUUUCUAUUUGAAACGAAAUAUUUGUACCUACUUAUUCAAAUUGUUGUUUGUUUAAGUGGUCUAGGUUUAACUAUAAGCAUAAAAUUUGAGCUACCUAACGUUUUUGAAUAAAAUUAAUCGUAACUGGCCAACGUUUUUAAAAAUAUAAUAAUCCAUUUGAUGAAUAUGUACCUAUCUAACGCAUUCGACAUAUUUUACUGUGUGUAUUUAAUAUGUGUAAAGACAGCUUCGUAGUUAGAAAUUGUAAAAAAUAAUCACAUAGUUAAAUAGGUGUUUCAAAUGAAUAUUCAUUUAUUAGUUUGUAAUUGUAAUAAGUAUCAUAGCGUGGGGGAAAUAGGCCAGUGUCACAUUCAGAGGAUAGUGAAAUUUAUUGAUUUAAACAAUUAUAAUGAUAUUAGGUAAUCUUAUGUGGAAAGUCGAUUUAAAAUUAAAAGGAAUUAAAAUUAAAUCUGCUGAGGAAUAAAAAAUAUGUCGUCUCGUUAUGGUUGAGCCACGGAUAAGUGGAUAGUUCGUAUAUUCUUAUGAACGCCCUAUCCGUUCCAUGAUGAUUCGCCAUGUUUUUUAUUCGCCUGUACGAUUAAGAUCGACUUUUCAUACUGUGUAAAAUGCACUAUGUUAUCGUUGGAUGUCUUGCUAGAGAAUGUGUCUUUAGAUUUAUAAGUACGCGCCUCAGUUUUUGAAAUACAUUAUCGUAAAGGCAUAUUAUAUAAUUAUUCUGAAAUGUUAGAAUAGAUUUUGUUUAGCGACUAUAAAAAAGUACAUUUUAAUUAUUACAAAUUAACAUUAUCACAGAUUCAUAAUUAAAUAAAUUCCAUUAAAAAUAAUGUUAGGACAAAAUUAUCAUUAUUGUCACUGUAUUUCAAAAAUUGAGGCUUCAUCACUGUAAGGUAAAUUAAAACACACCAGUAUGUUACAAAAUAAGGUAAUGUUAAUAUAAGAAGUAGAAAUGUGGUUACUUUUAAUUCAAAAUAAUUAAAUAUAAUCUACAGACAACAUGUUUGUUAUUAGAAAAAUAGAGUGUAUAGAGGUAUAUACGAUGUAUUUCAACUAGCAUGUUCGUUUAAGGUUGCCCUACCGCAUACCACAUUAGGUAGUGGAAUUAAAAUGUAGUGAAUGAAAUGAAUUUAAAGUAAUAUAGACUGUAGAUUAUCUUUAGUAAUUUAGAACUAAGAGUAAACUCAUUUUAGGUUAGAUUUAAUGUAACCGUGCUUCUUUGACCGUAACUUCACAUUGACUUAUAAACGUUGUUUGAGAACGUAUGCUUUAACCAUCUUGUUCUUGUAGAAUCAAUUCUUCAGGACAACUUAGAGAUCUAUAUAAAAUCAUUCAUACUAACGCAACAUUAAUGAUUAUAACUAAAUGUUCACAAAAAUAAUGUUCACAAGCAACGUUUCUAAGUAAGUAAAUUAUUUAAAAUUGUGUAUGAGUAUUCUAAUACAGGGGAAACUAUAUAAAUACAACUGUAUUGUAUCUCCUUUGAAUAUAAUGUUCUUAAACUUACUCAAUUAACAAUUGUGGGUGUAGUUGUUUUUAAAACAAAAAUUGAAUUAAAAUUAAAUAAUCGUGUAUGGCUUAAAUUGUUAGAUACUUAAGUUUCAUAGUUUAAUGUUAAAGCAAAAUAUCUAUUAGUAUCAAAUUUAAAUAUCACUGUAAUCCUAAUCACAUCAUCAAACGAAAUCUAUACUUAAUGAAAUAAUAGCAUAUUGUACUUAUGUAUGUACUAACUUAUUGUAAUGAUUGCUUCACUGAAAUAAAAAAAUUUAAUACCA